GAUGAACGCUGGCGGCGUGCCUAAUACAUGCAAGUCGAGCGAACAGACGAGGAGCUUGCUCCUCUGACGUUAGCGGCGGACGGGUGAGUAACACGUGGAUAACCUACCUAUAAGACUGGGAUAACUUCGGGAAACCGGAGCUAAUACCGGAUAAUAUAUUGAACCGUAUGGUUCAAUAGUGAAAGACGGUUUUGCUGUCACUUAUAGAUGGAUCCGCGCCGCAUUAGCUAGUUGGUAAGGUAACGGCUUACCAAGGCAACGAUGCGUAGCCGACCUGAGAGGGUGAUCGGCCACACUGGAACUGAGACACGGUCCAGACUCCUACGGGAGGCAGCAGUAGGGAAUCUUCCGCAAUGGGCGAAAGCCUGACGGAGCAACGCCGCGUGAGUGAUGAAGGUCUUCGGAUCGUAAAACGCUGUUAUUAGGGAAAAACAAAUGUGUAAGUAACUAUGCACGUCUUGACGGUACCUAAUCAGAAAGCCACGGCUAACUACGUG
rnacentral:rRNA from 1 species